UACAGAGGUCUCAAGCGUUGUUCGGAUUCAUUGGGCGUAAAGGGCGCGUAGGCGGCCUGACAAGUGGAUGGUGAAAUCCCUCGGCUUAACCGAGGAACUGCCAUCCAGACUGUUUGGCUUGAGACCGGGAGAGGUGAGUGGAAUUCCCAGUGUAGCGGUGAAAUGCGUAGAUAUUGGGAGGAACACCAGUGGCGAAGGCGGCUCACUGGACCGGUACUGACGCUGAUGCGCGAAAGCGUGGGGAGCAAACGGG
rnacentral:rRNA from 1 species